rnacentral:pre_miRNA from 1 species
GCUGGAGGAUUCCAAAGGGAUCGCAUUGAUCCAUCUCUCUUUUUCAGAAAAUUCAGUGAUGGUGUUGUUGUUGGAUCAUGCUAUCCCUUUGGAAUUUCCCUG